rnacentral:rRNA from 1 species
AGCAGCCGCGGUAAUACGAAGGGUGCAAGCGUUACUCGGAAUUACUGGGCGUAAAGCGUGCGUAGGCGGAUUGUUAAGUGAGGGGUGAAAUCCCGGGGCUCAACCCCGGAACUGCCUCUCAUACUGGCAAUCUCGAGUCCGAGAGAGGUGAGUGGAAUUCCGAGUGUAGAGGUGAAAUUCGUAGAUAUUCGGAGGAACACCAGUGGCGAAGGCGGCUCACUGGCUCGGUACUGACGCUGAGGUGCGAAAGCGUGGGGAGCAA